GACGAACGCGGCGGCGUGCCUAAUACAUGCAAGUUGAGCGCUGAAGGUUGGUACUUGUACCAACUGGAUGAGCAGCGAACGGGUGAGUAACGCGUGGGGAAUCUGCCUUUGAGCGGGGGACAACAUUUGGAAACGAAUGCUAAUACCGCAUAAAAACUUUAAACACAAGUUUUAAGUUUGAAAGAUGCAAUUGCAUCACUCAAAGAUGAUCCCGCGUUGUAUUAGCUAGUUGGUGAGGUAAAGGCUCACCAAGGCGAUGAUACAUAGCCGACCUGAGAGGGUGAUCGGCCACAUUGGGACUGAGACACGGCCCAAACUCCUACGGGAGGCAGCAGUAGGGAAUCUUCGGGCAAUGGACGAAAAGUCUGACCGAGCAAACGCCCGCGUGAGUGAAAGAAAGGUUUUUCGGAU
rnacentral:rRNA from 1 species